rnacentral:lncRNA from 1 species
GGAGGGAAAUCUUCCUUUUUUAGAACUCUUCAUCAGAAUCAUGAAGGACCAAAAUUAGAAAUGGAUUUUGUCCCUGAAAUACAAAUCGCUACAGCAAUGCCACAGAGAAUUGCAGGAGCUACAAAAGAACUGGAGUAGAAGGGGAAAAGAAGAGGAUAGAGAAAACCAAACACCCUAUACAAAAGUUCGGUGGGGAUUCCAUCUUAAAAGACCA